UGAACGCUAGCUACAGGCUUAACACAUGCAAGUCGAGGGGCAGCAUGGUCUUAGCUUGCUAAGACUGAUGGCGACCGGCGCGACGGGUGAGUAACACGUAUCCAACCCGCCGUCUACUCUUGGACAGCCUUCUGAAAGGAAGAUUAAUACAAGAUGGCAUCAUGAGUCCGCAUGUUCACAUGAUUAAAGGUAUUCCGGUAGACGAUGGGGAUGCGUUCCAUUAGAUAGUAGGCGGGGUAACGGCCCACCUAGUCUUCGAUGGAUAGGGGUUCUGAGAGGAAGGUCCCCCACAUUGGAACUGAGACACGGUCCAAACUCCUACGGGAGGCAGCAGUGAGGAAUAUUGGUCAAUGGACGAGAGUCUGAACCAGCCAAGUAGCGUGAAGGAUGAAGGUCCUACGGAUUGUAAACUUCUUUUAUAAGGGAAUAAAACCUCCCACGUGUGGGAGCUUGUAUGUACCUUAUGAAUAAGCAUCGGCUAACUCCGUG
rnacentral:rRNA from 1 species